AUAUUUGGAGUUGAGAGGGGAGAGAGGACAAGUCAUGAUGUCACUGUCUCCCUUUUUAUACCUUCUUCCAGCUGCUAGAAAGAUCCUUGCUGUGACGUGGGGGGUCAGGCAGUCC